rnacentral:rRNA from 1 species
CAGUCGCCGCGGUAAUACGGAGGGUGCAAGCGUUAAUCGGAAUUACUGGGCGUAAAGCGCACGCAGGCGGUCUGUCAAGUCAGAUGUGAAAUCCCCGGGCUUAACCUGGGAACUGCAUUUGAAACUGCAGGCUAGAGUCUUGUAGAGGGGGGUAGAAUUCCAGGUGUAGCGGUGAAAUGCGUAGAGAUCUGGAGGAAUACCGGUGGCGAAGGCGGCCCCCUGGACAAAGACUGACGCUCAGGUGCGAAAGCGUGGGGAGCAAACAGGAUUAGAUACCCGAGUAGUCCCUGUCUCUUAUACA